GGAUUUGUUUCCUUUUUUUUUUGUACCAUUAAGAACGAACACAAAAUAGAAGAAGUUCCAAGUUUAUAAGGAGCUACCUCGUUCAGGUAUGGAACCGUUAAAUCUGUUCAUGCUCAAGUACAGCAAGAAGCUUGUAUCACUUUGGGCUUUGAUAUAUAAUCUAAAUUGAGCUGACAAAAGGAAAGCAAAAAAAAAAAAGAAACCCUCACGCUAGAUUUGUGCCUCCGUUCCUCGACAAAGCACUUAGAAAAAAAAAAACUUUCACUCUCUAAACUCUUUCGGGUAAACUUUCACUCUCAUUUCUCAUUUCUCUACUUCGAAUCGCGAUGACUCUGUCCGGCCAAGCCUCCAAUCAUCGUCUUACACGUCCCGUCGAUUUGAAUCUGCCGGGUAAGUCUUCUUUCUCUAAUCAUCUCCCCCUUUUCUCUAUGACUUCUCGAAAAAACAAUUAGGCCCAAACCUUUCAGAUCUGUUUCAGUCUGAGACCCACAAAAUGAAUCUGUCGAAGAUUUUUAUUAACUCGUCCUCAUUUCAUUUCUCGUCUCUGCUCUCAAAUCCCAAGCUUUCCUUGUAAUUUGAAACCCUGAUUUUAUGUUUCAAUCUCGAUAAAUCCAAGCUUUUUCUGUAAUUUUUGUAUUUCGUCUUUGUUUAAUGGACACAAUUAGGGUUUUCACGGAGGUUCCCGGAUCUUAAAAAUCGACUUCGUUCACAGUCACCUCAGUUUUGGUGUGUUUAUUUGAUAAAAUCUGAUAUGUGUUAACUGGAUUUGGAGAAGUUGAAGAACAUGUCAAGAAGCUUGAAGAAGCACUUGCCUGGAAGAAGAUAGGUAGAAGAUGAUGUUUGGUUUAGAGAGAGAGCCACAGCCAAUAACACUCUUAGGCAGAGCUCAUGAUGUACAACUUUAUUUCAGAGGGUAAGGUACCUGAAGAAUUGAGUUGCUCUUGGAACAUUACUGGGAACUACUUAGGCUUCACCGAUGGAAUACAAGGCAAUUCAAAGUGUGCUACAGACCAUUUAUUAUGUAGCUGUUCAUCUAUUUUUUUUUUUUCUAAUUAUGUUUUUUUAAGGAGGAUGAAUUAUUCUUAUUCUUAGUUAUUAUUUUUAA